rnacentral:rRNA from 1 species
CAGCAGCCGUGGGAAUACAGAGGGUGCAAGCGUUAAUCGGAAUUACUGGGCGUAAAGCGCGCGUAGGUGGUUUGUUAAGUUGGAUGUGAAAUCCCCGGGCUCAACCUGGGAACUGCAUCCAAAACUGGCAAGCUAGAGUAUGGUAGAGGGUGGUGGAAUUUCCUGUGUAGCGGUGAAAUGCGUAGAUAUAGGAAGGAACACCAGUGGCGAAGGCGACCACCUGGACUGAUACUGACACUGAGGUGCGAAAGCGUGGGGAGCAAACAGGAUUAGAUACCCCCGUAGUCCCUGUCUCUUAUAC